rnacentral:rRNA from 1 species
UACAGAGGGGGCAAGCGUUAUUCGGGAUUAUUGGGCGUAAAGGGCGCGUAGGCGGCUUGGCAAGUGGAUGGUGAAAUCCCUCGGCUUAACCGAGGAACUGCCGUCCAAACUGCUUCGCUUGAGACCGGGAGAGGUGAGUGGAAUUCCCAGUGUAGCGGUGAAAUGCGUAGAUAUUGGGAGGAACACCAGUGGCGAAGGCGGCUCACUGGACCGGUACUGACGCUGAUGCGCGAAAGCGUGGGGAGCAAACGGG